rnacentral:lncRNA from 1 species
UAGGCUAUUUGUUUAAUGUGAAGUAGCAUUUUGGAUAAAUGUUUUUCUUUGGUGGGUUUGCCUCGGUAUACAAAUGUAAGCCACUUCCUUGUAUGGCUUUAUGUGUCGUUGGCUCUGUCUGAAAUAACUUGCCUGCAGUGGAGCCUGUUUACUUACUCAACAGUUAACUUUUUUGUAUUUCUUUUUGAAGGGUAAUGCAGCACCAUCUGGGAUUCCUGGGGCGUAUAAAAGAUUUUCACUUGGAAUGAAGGCGGCCCUGCGCAGUGCUGCCUCUGCCACUCCCACACAGCAGCCAGCCCCAGCUGCUGAGAAACGCCUCAGCCUGGCCCCAGCCUGCUCAGCACGCCUCAGGAAAAAAACAAACGAGGGAGCCAUUCCCUCCCUGAGCAAAGACACUGCAGCCAGCUCAGUGCGACCCUCUCAAGCCUCUGCUAGCCUGAAAAGACCCGUCCCUGAGCCCAAAGGAGGCCCAGCCAAGAGGUCGAAAGGAGAACCAGUAUCUAAUAUCAGAUCUGGUCUUCUGAGGAAGCGAGCACUUCCCACUGUGCCUGAAGAUACCAUCUCCACCUCCUCAGCUCAUACAGUGUCUGGUGCUUCAUCUGUGACUGCUCCCUCAUUGGACAGCGAGGACACUUACCUGUGCGAGUGUGGUCGCAAGACAGGUAUGGACACGAAAUGA